GACGAACGCUGGCGGCGUGCUUAACACAUGCAAGUCGAACGGAAAGGCCCUGCUUUUGUGGGGUGCUCGAGUGGCGAACGGGUGAGUAACACGUGAGUAACCUGCCCUUGACUUUGGGAUAACUUCAGGAAACUGGGGCUAAUACCGGAUAGGAGCUCCUGCUGCAUGGUGGGGGUUGGAAAGUUUCUGCGGUUGGGGAUGGACUCGCGGCUUAUCAGCUUGUUGGUGGGGUAGUGGCUUACCAAGGGUUUGACGGGUAGCCGGCCUGGGAGGGUGGCCGGCCACAAUGGGACUGAGAUACGGCGCAGACUGCUACGGGAGGCAGCAGUGGGGAAUAUUGCACAGUGGGGGGAAGCCUGAUGCAGCAACGCCGCGUGCGGGAUGACGGCCUUCGGGUUGUAAACCGCUUUCGCCUGUGACGAAGCGUGAGUGACGGUAAUGGGUAAAGAAGCACCGGCUAACUACGUG
rnacentral:rRNA from 1 species